AUUGAACGCUGGCGGCAUGCUUUACACAUGCAAGUCGAACGGUAACAGGCCGCAAGGUGCUGACGAGUGGCGAACGGGUGAGUAAUGCAUCGGAACGUGCCCAGUCGUGGGGGAUAACGCAGCGAAAGCUGUGCUAAUACCGCAUACGAUCUAUGGAUGAAAGCGGGGGACCGUAAGGCCUCGCGCGGUUGGAGCGGCCGAUAUAAGAUUAGGUGGUUGGUGGGGUAAAGGCUCACCAAGCCGACGAUCUGUGGCUGGUCUGAGAGGACGACCAGCCAAACUGGAACUGAGACACGUUCCAGACUCCUACGGGAGGCAGCAGUGGGGAAUUUUGGACAAUGGGCGCAAGCCUGAUCCAGCAAUGCCGCGUGCAGGAUGAAGGCCUUCGGGUUGUAAACUGCUUUUGUACGGAACGAAAAGGCUCUGGUUAAUACCUGGGGCACAUGACGGUACCGUAAGAAUAAGCACCGGCUAACUACGUGCCAGCCGCCGCCGUAACAC
rnacentral:rRNA from 1 species